UGCCUUUAUAAUCGCCAUCCCCACAACC
rnacentral:piRNA from 1 species